AUGAAAAGAAGUCUGCAAAUUACAGAAAUUGUUGAAGCUCAUCGCGCAGGGACUUCUGAGGUCGAUACCCUGACUGCCAGUCGUUUAUCCUAAUAAUCCAAUUUAUUGCACAAAUCCUCUCUUUGGAUCACGUUGUGAAAUUUCUGGAAAUUGAAUUUGAGUUUGUCACCAUUAUGAAGUCUCUUUGGUUGCACUGAAGUUCGUGUGGGGGCUUUCUCCCCAUAGCCCACAAAGGCGAAAGGGGGAGAAAGCCCGAACUACAGAGGCAGGAGAGGAAGGAAAAACAAUGAACGGAGAGGGGGGGGGGGCUUUUUGGGGAAGAACUGGUUCAUUUCACUGUGGUUUGGUUGCCGGCAGACCACAGCUGAGCGCCGCAUUGGAACACAUAUUUCAUCCGACAAACUAUAAUUGAGUGCUAUUCUUCUGCUCCAUUAUUGUUGGCCUAUGCAUUGUGGCAUUACACCGGAUUUGUGAUUUUAUGAGUUGCUGGAGACAGUUGUUGAACAUAGAGAAAACAAGCAUUUCUCCACCAAUCAACAGCUGCUGGACUAUUAUAAGCAAUCUCUUUUCCAAGCAUUCCAUCAGGUGGAAGAGCUGGAGAGAAUUGCAAGGUCAAGAAGAAUGAUGGGCUAGUGUGUGGAUUGCUCUUCCUCUUCUUCUUGUCGUUCAUCGAAAUCAUCCCUCUCCACAUGCAGAGAAAGUGAUGUGUUCAAGAAAAGCCAUGGAAGACGAUCAUCCAAGAUGACACCCUUUUAGAAAGGUGGCAUGAAAGAAGAGCCACCCACUUCAGAUGGUUUAAUGCUGGCAUUUGAUAAGUUUCUCACUGGAGAAUUUCGUAGAUAGCUAACAGCUAUAUAGUUUGUACAUUGACCAAUUUCCUUAAUUUCUGAUUCUUUGAAUUCUGGUGUGAAUUCUGUUUCGAGAAGCAAAGAUUCCCAUAAACAAUUAAUAAGAUAAGGAAGGCAUAGGAAUUCAUCAUGUUAUGGAUAGUGAGAACAUAAGAUCAUAGUGACAUCUAAACAAUGAACAAGUGAACUAUUGAAAGUGGCAAACACAAUAUGUGAAGAGUACUAGAAAAUUACAGAAGGAAUAUAAGAAGAUAUAAAACUAACAAAAUAGAGAGAAUACAUUAUAAACAUAAUGAUAAAAAUGCCAUAAGAAAAUUUCCCCUUGAAUGGCAAAACAAACCAUAAUUCUCUUAAGAGUGGCAAAACAAACCAUAAAUCAUAUAGGUGAAAUGAGGGUAAGAAAAUGUAGUGCAAAUAAGGCAUAACCAAAAGGUCAAAAUAUAAGAACAUGUGAAAUAUAAAAAUAAAAAAUAUCUGUCGAUGAGUUUAGAAUUGCUCAUUGUAUCAUAGAACAUAGUGGCAAUAUCCACCUUGUCAUCUUCUAUAAUAGUUGUUGUA